rnacentral:rRNA from 1 species
AUUGAACGCUGGCGGCAUGCCUUACACAUGCAAGUCGAACGGUAACGCGGGGCAACCUGGCGACGAGUGGCGAACGGGUGAGUAAUGCAUCGGAACGUGCCCAGUAGUGGGGGAUAGCCCGGCGAAAGCCGGAUUAAUACCGCAUACGACCUACGGGUGAAAGGGGGGGAUCGCAAGACCUCUCGCUAUUGGAGCGGCCGAUGUCAGAUUAGGUAGUUGGUGGGGUAAAGGCCUACCAAGCCGACGAUCUGUAGCUGGUCUGAGAGGACGACCAGCCACACUGGGACUGAGGCACGGCCCAGACGCCUACGGGAGGCAGCAGUGGGGAAUUUUGGACAAUGGGCGAAAGCCUGAUCCAGCCAUGCCGCGUGCGGGAAGAAGGCCUUCGGGUUGUAAACCGCUUUUGUCAGGGAAGAAAUCUUCUGGGUUAAUACCUCGGGAGGAUGACGGUACCUGAAGAAUAAGCACCGGCUAACUACGUGCCAGCCGCCGCCGUAAUAC